UCUUUUUGCUGAUUAAUUGAAGAUAAGACUUUUCUGCCUGGGCUGGCUUCCAACGGGGCCAGAUCUGACUCUCCUGAGUAGCUAGAAUUAUAGAUGUGAGCUAACAGUGCUAGGCUUAGGCAUACUAUUGAAGGAAUGCAAAGGCAAUACCACUCUCAAAACUUAGGGCUGGAGAUAGGACUCCAUAGUAGAACAUUUACUUGACAUGUGUGAUGCCCUGAGUUUCAUCCCCAGCACUGCAACUGACCAGCCAACCAAAUCUGAGAUUAUAAAUUCUUUGCUAAAUCUGAGGAGUAAGAUGAAUUUUAAGAAGAUAGGUAGAAGAUAGGUAUUUUAUAGUGGGAAAUAAAUAUUCCAACUAUUCACAAUGUAGAACUAAAAAAGGCCUGGGAAAUCAGGGCUUCCACCAUGGUCUGCUCAGCUAGCUUUUACUUCCCUCUUCCUAACCAUCUGGGCCUUAA